GGGCCACUCCCGCGGCAUAUGGAGGUUCCCAGGCUAGGGGUCCAAUCGGAGCUGUAGCCACCGGGCCUCCGCCAGAGCCACAGCAACGCGGGAUCCGAGCCGCGUCUGCAACCUACACCACAGGUCACGGCAACACCGGAUCCUUAACCCACUGAGCGAGGCCAGGGAUGGAACCCACAACCUCAUGGUUCCUAGUCGGAUUCGUUAACCACUGCGCCACAACGGGAACUCCUCUUAUCAAUUCUUUGAGGCCUGGUUGAAAGGUACAUUCCUCCAGAACACAUGAGUGAUAGUAGCUUCUACUAGUUUACCUGAGGGAACUACCAACCUAAAACCCAUCUGAAACUAACUUCUCACCUUGAAAUUUUCUCACAUCAUCCAGGGGAUGUAUAUUUAUGCAAAAAACUUUGUUUUUCUAGCAAUUUUUUUUCCCCUUUCAGUCUAUGCCAACGUGAUCAAUUGUGUUUCAGUCCCUUAUAAGAGGUGGCGAGUUUAUGGGAAAGAGACAAUGUUUCUAGAUGAUCCAUAUACUUAUUCUACGUGGAGUACGGGGGUGUGUUCUACUAGAUUCCCCAAGGUGAGCGGGUUCUGGGCUUUGCAGAUUCACCUGGGUUUGGCAAAUACCCUCAGAGUGAAAACCACCUUGGUAGUACUUUCUCUCACAUCUCUCUGAAGUCUAUUUAUUUGGGGGGUGGGGGGGGAGGGGCCUCAAUAAUCCUAAAUUUCUUGUCAGCUCAUCAAAGCAACUUAAUGUAUUUGAAAUGUUUUAUCCAACAGCUUUAAAAAUUUUUCAUGUGAAGUUCAGUGAAGGUCCCAGUCAUAUUGCUAGAAAGAGAAGUCUCCAUAUAAUCUAUUCUUUAUAAAACAGUCUACAAAUAACUUCCCCUCUGAAUCCAAUUCUUCCUGUGCAAGUAUCUUUGGAAUCUAUUCUCAUAUUCCUAUUAUUGACUGUUUUUAAUCAAUUUUCAUAGUUAUCCUAAGAUAAUCAUUACAAGUAACACCAAAAAAAGAAUUAAAAUAAAUACGGCUCUUGCCUUAAACAUUAUCAGUUAACUUGAUAUAGUAAAAUAUAACAAUAUAUAAUAAAAUAUAAAUUAUAAAAUCAGGUAUGAGGAGAAUAAAGUUCUCUUCUCAACUUUGAUAUCAAGUAAUUAUACGGCAUUAAGUUGUUUAAGUACCCUGAGCCUUCUAUUUCUUGUCAGUAAAAUAAGGAGGAUAAACCAGAUAGUGUAUUCUCGAGAAACCCUUCCAUUUAUGAAUUGUUAUUUUCUAGAUUAUAAAAUUUCCUUUACAAUAUAUUUUACCCAUUGGUUUCAAUUACAUUUUCUGAUAUUGUAUAACAUACAUACCUUUAUGAAGUAGAAACUUUUGCCAAUUCUUAUAAUCACUGAGAUAUCAUAUGCAAUAAUUCUAAAGGGAAUUUAAAUGAACUGUAUUUUUACUCUGGGAUAUUAGUUAUGCUUCAGGGAAAAAUAAUUACUAUCAUUUUGGGCUGACAUUUUUACACCACCUGAUUGUGAUUAUCUUAUGCUCUUCUUCUUUUAUGGGCAGCAUCUUAAAUUCUGCCUUAAUUAUCAUAAGAAUUCCCCAAUGCAGAGAAAUAAAAUGGGCAAAAUUCAUGGCAUGUCUGUGCAAUUCUGAGCUACGAUGUUUCUCGGUUUUUCACCCUAAAGCAAGUAUCAGAACUUUAAACAAAUCACUAAAAUCAAUGGUUUUCAAAAAAGCAAUUACAACGGAAACAUACUUAACAGGAAAACACUAUUUAAUUGAAUUCAAUCUGUAAUCAAGAACUCAGCAUUUUUGGGCCUGGGAAUCAGGUCAUGGUGAUAUAAAACUAGCUAACAGAACACCAACAAGUUGUUCACGACACCAACAAGUUCAGGUUAUGAUUGGAGUAUAAUUAAAGAACACACCAAAAGUCAGAAAUAAAGUUACUAUAAAACAUAAUGAAAGAGUGAAAGAACAGCAUUCCAUGGAGAUGAACUAUUGCUCUUGAGUUUGGAAACCAACUUGCAGAAACACAAUAAAACUCAGAGAAGAUAUGUGAAGUUUCAGUUGUUUGGCAGAGAAAAUACACCAUUGUUCCUCUACAAAGUAGCCUGAUAUUAAUAAUACUAGAAAAUAGAUUGGCCAAGAUAACACAUAUAAUAAAGAGCUCCUAAUACCUGGUAUUCAAUAAAUACUCCAUUUGGCUUAUCAAAAACAGUGACUCAAUCACAUAACAAAGGAGCUACUUAUCAACAUUUUCUAAAUACAUCAUGUAAAAUUAUUGCUACAACCACUUCCUGGGAAAGUACUUUUCUUUUUUAUUUCUUCAACCAUCAGUGAAUCUACUUUUAAAUGUUGUUUUUCAAAAAUCUAAAAUACAAACAAGGCUUUUAUUAAAAUACACAAAAGAACGACUUGUCAAUUUAGCUCAGGAGGGAGCAGAAAUAGGCGGAGAUUACUAAAAAAAAAGGCUCUGAAGAUACUAGACAAAGCAACUUAGGCUGAGAAACUAAUGGUCCCCAAACAUAGCUUCAGCGUAAACAUCUUUUUAUCUCAACAAUCAAGCACCACUCCAGCAAAAGAGAACUAAAGAGAGACUAGAACAAAAAGACGAGAGGCGGAUUAAAUUCAAAUACAUUCACCAAGUAUUUAUUAAGUACCAACAAUAUACAGGUACCGUAUACAAGGUCCUGGCAAUAAUAAGUGUAACAUCAACCUUUGCUCAUGUCAAAAACCCUGGAGUCAUUCUCCCUCUUCUACUUUUUUCACGUCUCUCAUCUAAUCCAUCAGCAAAUACUGUCUGGUCAGCCUUCAAAACAAAGAAUUCCAGCACUUCUCACCACCCAUGCUGCUACUACAUUCGACCACCAAGCCACCACCAUCUCUCCUGCUUCCUGGCAUCCCAACUGGUCCUCCUGCCUCCAUCCUUGCCCCUUUUAGGAGAUUCUUAACCUUCAAGGCAGAGGAUCCUGUUAAAAUACAAAGCCAAUGCAGUUACUCCCUUCUCUGUAGAAUGUUCCUCUCUCUAGCAUCUCAUUUGAAUCACAUCGCAUUUGAAGUAAGAGCCCAACUCUUUACAAUGACCUAGAAGACUCUCUACUACCAGCCCCUACACUUUUCUGGGUUCAUUCCCUACUGCUCCUUCCCCGUCUCCCUCUGCUCCAGUUGCACAAGCUGUCCUGCUCUUUUGUGAACACGAUGCACACGCCUCUUCCUCAGGGCCUCCGUUCAUCCUGUUCCUUCCACCUGGCAACACUCUUCCCAGAUCCAUUCGGCUCACUCCCAUAGCUCUUUCAGGUCUUUCCUCAACUAUUUCCUUCCCAGGCAUGCAAAAUCCAAGUGAAGUAUGCAUUCAUUUAAAUAGUAAAUUGAGUCAGUAGAAGGCACAUGUUUCUACAGACCAGCAACUGUAAGCCUAUAAAAAACUGAGGUCCUAAAAUCUGGCCAGGAUGAUAAAAUUCUGAGAAAGACACUACACAGGGAAGGCCUGCUCAAACAACACACUAACACAAGCACACAACAAAAGCAUACACAUAAAAAAAAUUGAAACCAUGCAUAUAGUAAAGAUCUGCACCAGCUUUCUCCUCCUAGUUUUCUCUCCUGAGUAUUUUCACGUCAUGAAUUCUUCUUUAAGGACAUGAUUAUCAAAGGCUAAAAUAGCAAAUAUUUUAGGGACACAUCAAACAACAACCAUUCAGCAACUAUUACACAGCCUGUUACAUACCAGGCACUAUGCUGGGUGCUGGAAAAGAAGAAUGAUCAAAAAAAGACAUGGCCCAGGAGUUUGGGGUAGUCUAUUACAUUUCAAACGGAUAGGCAACAGAGUCCAACUGCAUAGCACAGGGAAUUUUUAUCCCAUCUCCUGGGAUAAACCAUAAUGGAAUGGAAUAUUAAAAAAAAGAAGAAGAAUAUAUUUGUGUAUAACUAAGCCACUCUUCUGUACAGCAGAAAUCAGCACAACCUUGUAAAGCAACUAUACUUUAAUUUAGAAAGAAAGAAAGAAAAAAAAACCACAGAAGAGUUACAACAACAACAAAUAUAUAGCCCAUGCCCUUAUGGAGUUGACCAUGUGGUAAUGAGACAGACACUAAGCUAUCACACAAAUAAAUAUGUAUUUACCCACUGUCUUCUAUGUUAGGAGAUUGGAACAGAGUGGCAGGAAAUGUCAUGAUACCUAUAAAAUACUUAACAACUAUCUCUAAAGUAUCCAUUAGGGGCUAACUUAGUUCAAGGUCAGAUGAAGUGACAUUUACACAAAGCUUGAAAGAUGAGUGGGAGUUGGUCUGUAAAAAAUUGAGGAAAGAGGGUUCUAAGCAGAGAGAACAGCACGUGUAAAGGCCCCGAGGCAAACAUUCAAGGCACUGAGAGUGCAGAGUUCAGUGAGCAAGAAGCGUAAAACAAGGGGGAAGCAAGCAGAGAUCCCCAGAAGGUCUUGCUAAGGAAAAGAGACGUUGUAACCCUAAGUAAAUAGAAAGCCAUUAAAGAUUUGGAGCGACAGAACAGUGUAGAUCAACUAUAAUAUAAACAUUUUUAAAAGGAUUUGGAGCAGGAGAGUGUCGUAACUUAAUGCCAAUAUGAGAAGAUGCUGUUUUUUAAAAGCCAAAGUAAUCCCUAACACAACCCUCUCCUAAUUUUUAUCCUCACAAAGUCUUGCCUUAAAAAUGCUUCUCAUCUCUUCUCCAAAGCAAAGUGAAGUCUCCUGCAAUUCUAUGUGCUAAGCAGCACCCAGAGUCUGCAGCUCCUAGGACCACCAUCGACAAAGCCAAAGGUGACAAGACCUCUGGCCACUUUGCCCAAAGCCUAUGGCACCUCUCAUUCCUACUUCAUUGGCUCAUCAAUCUCCUUGGACAGCACCUAAGUACCAACACCCUGCUCUCCUCUUUCUAACAUUCUGAAUUGCUCUGUUCCUGAUUCAGACCCUACUUUUCUCCAACCUCCAAAACUCCUCACCACCAUCCCU
rnacentral:lncRNA from 1 species